rnacentral:tRNA from 1 species
GUUCAUGUGGCGGAAUGGAAUACGCGUGCGGCUCAGAACCGCAUGGUUAUACCUUGUGGGUUCGAAUCCCACCAUGAACA